CGAUUUCUCUCUUUCCUCAAAGUAUGGUUUUAUGGAAUUUGAGGCAAAAGGAAAAAAAAAAAACAAAAGGAGCUCAGUGGGUUUGCUGUUGUUCAAGACCAAAUGUAGUAAAUUACAUUUAUUCCGUCUUCCUGUUUUGAUACAUUGCCCCCCUAUACCUUUUUUGUUAGCCCUUAACAGCUUCAAACAGUCUAAAGUGUAUCAAAGAGAUCAUUACGGAACACUAGAACAUUCAUACCCUCAGUUCCUAUCACUAAAUGACUUUGAGGAGAUUUAUAGUACAACAGACAAGCACUUCCUGUUAUGCGCAUCAUAGCUCAAAUCUUUAAUCCCUUUAGACUUCCGUUAAUAAAAAUAGAAACGCAAUUGGCAGAUGUCUUGGGUAAGACUACCUUUAGGAGGAGUUAAAAGUUUUUUUUCUUGUUCAUUAAU
rnacentral:lncRNA from 1 species